rnacentral:lncRNA from 1 species
GAAGAGGCUAUAAUUCAAACAAAUCUCUGCCAUAAUAGCUAUGGGAAUACUAAACAUUACUGGCCAAGUAAAUUGCUUUCUGUAUAAGCGUUCUCUUUUUUUUUUUUGAAGUUUGCCCCAGUGUGAAAGUCUCUCUAAGAUUGGUAACUAAUGGGUAAUACACAACAUUCCAAGAUAGAUUCUGGUAUCUUGAGCCAACAUAUCAGGAGAAUGGUACAGAAAAACUGAACAUUACCAGCCCCUCUACCUUAGCUAACUGCAAAAUGAACAACUUCCAAGGACUUGCUGCUACUCUCCCACAAAAUGAAAAGUCUAUGUAUCAAGAUGUAGAAUAGUACAGCUAAGCACAAGGCUCCUCCCCAGUCAAAGAGGAGCAGAGAGUGAAGAUCACUAUCAGUAAAAGCGCUGGCCUAGAGUUCCAUCACUAAACUGAUAUGUAACCCAAGGCAGGUCUUCUUUCUUUGAGUUUCAGUCUCAUCAUCUUUGAAGUGAGAAUAACAGAGCAUAAAAGUCAAACUUGAACCAAAAAAAAAA